GUCGAACGCUGGCGGCAUGCUUAACACAUGCAAGUCGAACGAAGAGGGGCACGGGUGAGUAAUACGUGUGUAACCUGCCCUCCUUGUGGGGAUAAGCCUUUGAAACGGGGUCUAAUAACGGAUAAAGGGGGGUGGGCUGUCGGCCUAUGAGCUUGUUGGUGGGGUGACGGCCGAACAAGGGGGUGACGGGUAGCUGGCAUGAGAGGGUGACCGGCAACAGUGGGACGGAGAAACGGCCCAGACGACUAAGGGAGGCAGCAGUGGGCGCUAUGGCAGAAGGCGAGAUAGCGUGAUGCAGCGUGGAUGAGUGGGGGCUGCAGGCUUUCGAGUUGUAAACGUAGUUAGGUAUCGAACGGUUAGGUGGAGAAGAAGCGCCGGCUAACUACGUGCCAGCAGCCGCGGUAAUUC
rnacentral:rRNA from 1 species